GAUGAACGCUGGCGGCGUGCCUAAUACAUGCAAGUCGAGCGAACGGACGAGAAGCUUGCUUCUCUGAUGUUAGCGGCGGACGGGUGAGUAACACGUGGAUAACCUACCUAUAAGACUGGGAUAACUUCGGGAAACCGUAACUAAUACCGGAUAAUAUUUUGAACCGCAUGGUUCAAAAGUGAAAGACGGUCUUGCUGUCACUUAUAGAUGGAUCCGCGCUGCAUUAGCUAGUUGGUAAGGUAACGGCUUACCAAGGCAACGAUGCAUAGCCGACCUGAGAGGGUGAUCGGCCACACUGGAACUGAGACACGGUCCAGACUCCUACGGGAGGCAGCAGUAGGGAAUCUUCCGCAAUGGGCGAAAGCCUGACGGAGCAACGCCGCGUGAGUGAUGAAGGUCUUCGGAUCGUAAAACUCUGUUAUUAGGGAAGAACAUAUGUGUAAGUAACUGUGCACAUCUUGACGGUACCUAAUCAGAAAGCCACGGCUAACUACGUG
rnacentral:rRNA from 1 species